rnacentral:lncRNA from 1 species
UGAAAUACUAUUAAUAGUAAAACGUUCUUUUUACUAUCAAGUUUUUAACCCUUGGAUGAAAAAUUGUAGGGUCAGAAUGAUAUUAGUCGGUUAGAGUUGAGUGGUCCCCCUAGGGUUGAGUGGUCCCUACUGGGUUAUAGUAUUUAAUCCAAUGGUUAGAAAUAAUGAAAGAGUUGAUCCAAAGGCUAAAAAACUAGUAGCAACAAUGGAAUUUUACUACUAAUAGUAGCCCAGCCCAACUCUCUCUCUCUCUCUCUCUCUAUAUAUAUAUAUAUAGAAUUAGGCUGGAAUAUUAUUAAUAGUAAAACGCGCCUUUUGCUAUCAAGAUUUUAACCUUUGGAUGAAAAAUUAUAGGGUCAGAAUGAUAUUAGUCGGUUAGAGUUGAGUGGUCCCCCUAAGAUUGAGUGGUCCCCACUGGGUUAUAGUAUUUAAUCCAAUAGUUAGAAAUAAUGAAAAGAGUUGAUCCAAAGGCUAAAAAACUGGUAGCAACAAUGAGAUUUUGCUACUAAUAGUAGCCCAGUCCAACUCUAUAUAUAUAUAUAUAUAUAUAUGCUACUAUAUUAUCAAUAGUACCAAGUCCUUAUUAUUAUUGAGAUUUCGGCCGUUGGAUGAAUGGAUGUGCGGUAAGGAUGAUAGUGGUCCCCCGGUUAAAUUGAUAGUGGUCCCAUAGGGUUGAGUGGGUGGUUGGUUUAAUAGUAUAAUCUAACGGGUGGAAAUGAUCAAAGGGUAGAUCUAACGGUAAAAAACUCAAUAGUAUAAAGGGCUUGGUGCUAUCGAUAGUAUAGUAGCCGAAAUCAUAUA